rnacentral:rRNA from 1 species
UAAGGAAUAUUGGUCAAUGGACGCAAGUCUGAACCAGCCAUGCCGCGUGAAGGAUGAAGGUCCUCUGGAUUGUAAACUUCUUUUAUCUGGGACGAAAAAAGGGAAUUCUUUCCCACUUGACGGUACCAGAGGAAUAAGCACCGGCUAACUCCGUGCCAGCAGCCGCGGUAAUACGGAGGGUGCAAGCGUUAUCCGGAUUUACUGGGUUUAAAGGGUGCGUAGGUGGGUAGGUAAGUCAGUGGUGAAAUCUCCGAGCUUAACUCGGAAACUGCCAUUGAUACUAUUUAUCUUGAAUUAUCUGGAGGUAAGCGGAAUAUGUCAUGUAGCGGUGAAAUGCUUAGAUAUGACAUAGAACACCAAUUGCGAAGGCAGCUUACUACGGAUGUAUUGACACUGAGGCACGAAAGCGUGGGGAUCAAACA